CACGUAGUUAGCCGGGGCUUCUUAAUCAGGUACCGUCAUUUUCUUCCCUGCUGAUAGAGCUUUACAUACCGAAAUACUUCUUCACUCACGCGGCGUCGCUGCAUCAGGGCUUCCCCCAUUGUGCAAUAUUCCCCACUGCUGCCUCCCGUAGGAGUUUGGGCCGUGUCUCAGUCCCAAUGUGGCCGUUCACCCUCUCAGGCCGGCUACUGAUCGUCGCCUUGGUGAGCCAUUACCCCACCAACAAGCUAAUCAGACGCGGAACCAUCGUAUACCACCAGAGUUUUUCACACCACUUCAUGCGAAGCUGUGCGCUUAUGCGGUAUUAGCACCUAUUUCUAAGUGUUAUCCCCCAGUAUACGGCAGGUUUUCCACGCGUUACUCACCCGUCCGCCACUAACUCAUAAAUCACUAGGUUUCAAUAUGAGUCCGUUCGACUUGCAUGUGUUAAGCACGCCGCCAGCGUUCAUCCUGAGCCAGGAUCAAACUCU
rnacentral:rRNA from 1 species